rnacentral:rRNA from 1 species
UACGUAGGUGGCAAGCGUUGUUCGGAUUUACUGGGCGUAAAGAGCGCGUAGGCGGUUGUUUAAGUCGCGUGUGAAAGCCCCCGGCUCAACUGGGGAGGGGCACGCGAUACUGGUCGACUCGAAGGCAGGAGAGGGUAGUGGAAUUCCCGGUGUAGUGGUGAAAUGCGUAGAUAUCGGGAGGAACACCAGUGGCGAAGGCGACUACCUGGCCUGUUCUUGACGCUGAGGCGCGAAAGCUAGGGGAGCAAACGGG